AGUUUACAACUCCCAAACCCCUGUGAACAUACCUAUACGUUGCCUCGGCGGAUCAGCCCGCGCCCCGUAAAACGGGACGGCCCGCCCGAGGACCCCUAAACUCUGUUUUUAGUGGAACUUCUGAGUAAAACAAACAAAUAAAUCAAAACUUUCAACAACGGAUCUCUUGGUUCUGGCAUCGAUGAAGAACGCAGCAAAAUGCGAUAAGUAAUGUGAAUUGCAGAAUUCAGUGAAUCAUCGAAUCUUUGAACGCACAUUGCGCCCGCCAGUAUUCUGGCGGGCAUGCCUGUUCGAGCGUCAUUUCAACCCUCAAGCUCAGCUUGGUGUUGGGACUCGCGGUAACCCGCGUUCCCCAAAUCGAUUGGCGGUCACGUCGAGCUUCCAUAGCGUAGUAAUCAUACACCUCGUUACUGGUAAUCGUCGCGGCCACGCCGUAAAACCCCAACUUCUGAAUGUUGACCUCGGAUCAGGUAGGAAUACCCGCUGAACUUAAGCAUAUCAAUAAGCGGAGGAAAAGAAACCAACAGGGAUUGCCCUAGUAACGGCGAGUGAAGCGGCAACAGCUCAAAUUUGAAAUCUGGCUCUCGGGCCCGAGUUGUAAUUUGUAGAGGAUGCUUUUGAUGCGGUGCCUUCCGAGUUCCCUGGAACGGGACGCCAUAGAGGGUGAGAGCCCCGUCUGGUUGGAUGCCAAAUCUCUGUAAAGCUCCUUCGACGAGUCGAGUAGUUUGGGAAUGCUGCUCUAAAUGGGAGGUAUAUGUCUUCUAAAGCUAAAUACCGGCCAGAGACCGAUAGCGCACAAGUAGAGUGAUCGAAAGAUGAAAAGCACUUUGAAAAGAGAGUUAAAAAGUACGUGAAAUUGUUGAAAGGGAAGCGUUUAUGACCAGACUUGGGCUUGGUUAAUCAUCUGGGGUUCUCCCCAGUGCACUUUUCCAGUCCAGGCCAGCAUCAGUUUUCGCCGGGGGAUAAAGGCUUCGGGAAUGUGGCUCUCUCCGGGGAGUGUUAUAGCCCGUUGCGUAAUACCCUGGCGGGGACUGAGGUUCGCGCAUCUGC
rnacentral:rRNA from 1 species